GUGAAAAGGUGAAUACAAGGAUCAGCAUUUGCAGCUUGAUUUGGAUUAUGGCAUAAGGUAACCCAUUAAAGCAAAGAAUUGCUAAGAAUUGAAUAAAAGGCUGCAGGAGGUUCUUACACAACUAAUUUCUUUAAUUUUUGUGUUUAAGAGAGAUGGUUUAAAGAUUUGUGCCGAAAUUUAGGUUUUAGAUUAAGAAGAAAAAAUAUAAAAUCACAGGCUGCUUGUGAGUAGUUGGAGAACAGAGCACUGUGGAAGAAUUAUAGUGGAAGGGGGAGAAUAAGAGAUGAC
rnacentral:misc_RNA from 1 species